rnacentral:rRNA from 1 species
GUGCCAGCCGCCGCGGUAAGACGAACCGUGCAAACGUUGUUCGGAUUCACUGGGCUUAAAGGGCGCGUAGGCGGCUGGGUAAGUCUGUGGUGAAAUCUUUCGGCUCAACCGGAAGACUGCCGUGGAUACUGCCCAGCUCGAGGGAGGUAGGGGCAACCGGAACGGCCAGUGGAGCGGUGAAAUGCGUUGAUAUUGGCAGGAACGCCGGUGGCGAAAGCGGGUUGCUGGACCUCUUCUGACGCUGAGGCGCGAAAGCUAGGGAAGCAAACGGGAUUAGAAACCCGCGUAGUCC